GGGCCUCUCUGGAGGUGACCUUGGCCUUCAACCUGAUCCGCUUCUCGACCAGCGAUACACUCUACCUGCACGGCCGAGUGACCCUGUGUGACACGCGGGCAAGACGCCCAUGCCAACCAGUGAGUGGGCAGCCCCGGGACCUCCUGCGCAGCCGCCGCAGCCCUGCCUGCAAAGCAGUUCCUGCCGGGCAGGCUGGGUAGCCGGACUCCCAGCUGCGCCGUCUUCACGGAAGCGGUGCUGAUGCGGGACCUGGGGGACUGCGGUGCUGGGGACUGGCCAGUCCUGCCGGGGGCGGGGCUUGUGGAAGACGGGGCGGGAUUUUGAAGACCUAGGUCUUGUGGAUUGGUGAACUCACUUGGGGCGGGGAGGGAGGUGGGGCUACCCUGGGGUCUUGGGCAAAGUCCUCGCCUGGCCGGCUUCGCUACCCUUGUGCUUGCGUUGCCCACAAGCUUGUAGUCAGAAGAACUCGCCUGGGAGGGAUCGCUCCUGGGAGAUCCGAACGCGGGAGGGCCUGGAGCGCGGCGGCAGCUGGAUAGCAUUCGGGCCCACCCGAAUAAGCGCUACUUGAGAGGCUGAGGCAGAAGGAUCGCUUGAGACCAGGAGUUUGAGGGUGCAGUGAACUAUGAUGGCGCCACCACACUCCAGCCUGGGAGACAGAGUGAGACCCUGUCUCUAAAAGAAAAAAGAAAAUUCAAGAUACAGAGCCAGACAGGAGCCUGGAUGGCCAUCUUUCUUCCGAUAGCGAUAAGCUGGAUGCUGGGAUAGAAGCCUGAUACCUCCUCCAACCCUAGUCCUUGGCCUCUAGUUUACUCGCCUGAGGCAAGGGUAGAGUGGAGGAAGAUUUAGGGAAAGCAAGUAGUCCGUUUUAUUGUUAGGGACCAGAGAGGUUGGGGGUGCAGAUGAAACCAACAUCUGGUAAGGAGUGUGGCUGAUCAGCCUUGGGCUCUGCUUCAUCAUCCCACCUUUGCUUCCUAUCUCUGGAACUCUUCUAGGGGGAGAUUGAGUUACUUAGUAUGGUAUGGGGAGGUGCAGAGGGUAUGACUAAUAAACAGCCGGGAAUUCUA